rnacentral:rRNA from 1 species
AUGUUAGCGAAGCAGUGUUGGCGCCUUCUCCAGAACCCUGACUCCUUGUGUGCACGUGUUCUCGGUGCAAAAUAUUACCCUAAUGGUGAUAUUCUAAAAGCUGGCCCUAAGAAAGGUUCUUCAUUUAUGUGGCAAAGUAUAGUUGCCGGCAUACAAACUUUUAAGAGAGGGUGUAUUUGGCGAGUGGGCAGUUCUCAGAUAGAUAUCUGGGAGGAUCCAUGGAUUCCAUCUAGUGAAACAAGGAAACCGAUAACCCCGAGAGGUGGAAUUAUGUUAUCAAAAGUGCAGGAUAUAAUUGAUCCCCGCACAGGACAAUGGGAUGAGCCCCUCAUCCAAAGCGUGUUCUCACCAGUUGAUGUGUACAGAAUACUCCAAAUCCCACUCCAUGUUGAAGCUAUGGAAGAUUUUGUGGAUUGGCACCACACAAGAUCUGGAACCUUCUCGGUUCGUUCGGCACAUCAUGUGGAGCUUGAUCACCAAUUCGGACGUCAUUACACAAAUCUGUAUAGUUCAGGCGGUGCCCAACUGAAUCUGGUUCGGAAGGAGUUAUGGAAGCUCCGACUACCAGGAAAGGUUUAGCAUUUUGGCUGGAAAGUGCUAAAGGGGAUUUUAGCAUGUUACGGUGUUCUCGUGGGUAGACAUGUACCCCUGCUCCCGCAAUGCCCUUUGUGCAAAAGUCGACUAGAAGAUAUCCAGCAUUGCUUGUGUUCAUGCGACCAAGCCAUGCAAGUUUGGACAACACUUGGCCUACCAGAGGUGAUUGACCAAGUUGUUCAGCAGGACCGAUCGGGAUCUAUAAGCCUUGAUAUUUUGCUCAGACUGCGUACGAUGACACAUAGUAUACCUACGGCUGAGCUUAUCUUGGUGGCCAUGUAG